rnacentral:rRNA from 1 species
AGUGAACGCUGGCGGUAGGCCUAACACAUGCAAGUCGAACGGCAUCACAUUAAGAGCUUGCUCUUACGGGUGGCGAGUGGCGGACGGGUGAGGAAUACAUCGGAAUCUACUUUUUCGUGGGGGGUAACGUAUGGAAACUUACGCUAAUACCUCAUACGACCUACUGGUGUAAGCAGGGUAUCUUCGGACCUUGCGCGAUUGUAUGAGCCGAUGUCGGAUUAGCUAGUUGGCGGGGUAAAGGCCCACCAAGGCGACGAUCCGUAGCUGGUCUGAGAGGAUGAUCAGCAAAACUGGAACGGAGAAACGGUCAAGACUCCUACGGGAGGAAGAAGUGGGGAAUAUUGGAAAAAGGGGGCAAGCCUGAUCCAGAAAUACCGCGUGGGUGAAGAAGGCCUUCGGGUUGUAAAGCCUUUUUGUUGGGAAAGAAAAGCAGCAGGUUAAUAACCCGAUGUUCUGACGGUACCCAAAGAAUAAGCACCGGCUAACUUCGUG